rnacentral:rRNA from 1 species
UACAGAGGUCUCAAGCGUUGUUCGGAUUCAUUGGGCGUAAAGGGUGCGUAGGCGGCGCGGUAAGUCGGGUGUGAAAUCUCGGAGCUUAACUCCGAAACUGCAUUCGAGACUGCAUUGCUAGAGUAUGGGAGAGGGAAGUGGAAUUUCCGGUGUAGCGGUGAAAUGCGUAGAUAUCGGAAGGAACAUCAGUGGCGAAAGCGACUUCCUGGACCAAUACUGACGCUCAUGUGCGAAAGCUAGGGGAGCGAACGGG